GGGGCUGUAGCUCAGGUGGUAGAGCGCUCGCCUGGCAUGUGAGAGGUGCGGGGAUUGAUACCCCGCAGCUCCA
rnacentral:tRNA from 1 species